rnacentral:rRNA from 1 species
AUGGUGGAUGCCUUGGCACUAGAAGGCGAUGAAGGACGUGACUAACUACGAUAUGCCUCGGUUAGCUGUAAGUAAGCUUACCCGGGGGUUUCCGAAUGGGGCAACCCGAUCUUAAUGAUCAUCAUCUUUUUGAAUUCAUAGAUUAGAUGAAGCAAACGCUGUGAACUGAAACAUCUAAGUAGCAGUAGGAAAGUAAAGAAAUUUCGAUUCCGUCAGUAGCGGCGAGCGAACGCGGAAGAGCCCAAACCUGGAUGCUUGCAUCCAGGGGUUGUAGGACUGAUGUUGAGUUACAAAGGUAUAAGAUAGCAGAAACAGUUGGGAAGCUGUUCCAAAGAGGGUGACAGGCCCGUAUGCGAAAUCUUGUACUCUCUAAUCAGGAUCCUGAGUACGGCCCAGCACGUGAAAUUGGGUCGGAAUCUGGGAGGACCAUCUCCCAAGGCUAAAUACUAACUAGUGACCGAUAGCGAACAAGUACCGUGAGGGAAAGGUGAAAAGAACCCCGGAAGGGGAGUGAAAUAGUUCUUGAAACCGUGUGCUUACAAGAAGUUCGAGGCCGUUAAUGGCUGAGAGCGUGCUUUUUGUAGAAUGAACCGGAGAGUUACGAUUGCGUGCAAGGUUAAGGUGCAAAGACUGGAGCCGUAGCGAAAGCGAGUCUUAAUAGGGCGAAUCAGUACGUAGUUGUAGACCCGAAACCGAGUGACCUAUCCAUGGUCAGGUUGAAGGUGGGGUAAUACCUACUGGAGGACCGAACAAGUGGGUGUUAAAAAACCCUUUGAUGAACUGUGGAUAGCGGUGAAAUUCCAAUCGAACUCGGAGAUAGCUGGUUCUAUCCGAAAUACAUUUAGGUGUAGCCUUGCAAUUAGCUUACUGGAGGUAGAGCACUAUUUGGUCUAGGGGCCCUUCAAGGGUUACCAAAAUCAGAUAAACUCCGAAUGCCAGCUAAGUAUGUGCAGGAGUCAGACGGUGAGUGAUAAGAUCCAUCGUCAAAAGGGGAACAGCCCAGAUCACCAGUUAAGG